GGGCGUUUAGCACAGUGGUAGCGCGUAUGCUUUGCAUUGCCAGGUCUUCCUGCAAUAGCGACUUGCAUAAAGUCCAGGGUUCAAUCCCCUGAACGUCCA
rnacentral:tRNA from 1 species